UACCAGGAAUAUACAUGCUUUACCUUGCUACGGGAGAGAAAAUGUUUGGAAAAAACUUUGCCACCAUAAUUGCCUUAUUCUCGCCAAUCCAAACGACCAACACGAUUUCCACCAAGUCUUCUUACGGGUACCAUUUGCACCCUCUAAGCUAUGAGUACCAUUUGUACCCCCUAACCCCAAGACAAACGAUGCCAGUUCUUUGAAAAAGGUUUGCAUGAGGAAAGUGACAAAUUUCUUUUUUACUAACAAGAUAUUACAAAGAAUCAAACAGCAAUUUCCAAUCGUCGUUGUAUUUCAAAAGACAAAACUCUGGCAAAGCUUUUCUUGUACACAUCCUGCCUCAUGACCCUGUCUAAACUGUUGCUUUGCUGCGCUUGUAAUGUGUGUGCACCAAGGCAGUAUAUUUACACAGAGGGAAACAAUGGUAACAUAAACGAAUCAUUAGAACCAUGCAAUAACCAUACACUCAAAUGUUCUCUUUUCAGAUCCGUUUUCAAAUUCAGAAGCUGAUGAAUUCCGAAAGUACAGUUUUGGUAAUGAAAAUCAUCGUAAACUUUCAUUCAAGCUAUCAAAGUCAACUGAACAGAAAAUAGAUCGAAUGUGUAAAUAUACUAAACAUUUAUACCGCCAGGAUUUAUGCCGGAUUUCAUUGUAUCCAGAACAACAAAACAAACAAUGGUCUGGGUACAAUAUCUACAUAUCUACAGCCCGUUCGCAGGCAAACAAGAAAGAACAGUACCUGAAAGUAGACAUUUCUGUGACCUUUGUAUAUCCAUCAUAGUUUCUUUGUAGCCAUUUAGUAUAGUCACAAAUAUCGACUGCUGACCAUGACAUUCAAUCCUUUCAUUUCAUCCGAGGCAUCCAAUUUCAUCAUCAUUGUCUUUGUCGUUUGGUACAUUUUCUUUAAAUUCAUAGCUUGAUGAUCAUAACUACUGUCUUUGGUGUAUUGUUGUAAUUUGAUCAGAAAUAGAGGUAUUUCCUCCUGUAUUGCUCCUCGAGGCAUAUCAUCUUGGUAACACGAUAUUUUAUAAAUCAAUAUUUCAUAGCAUGUUCAGUAAUGAUCUGUAAAACAAAGCAAAAAAUCAAUAAUUAAUUCAGAUAUAAAACUUUUGCUACAAAAAAAUUAAACCGUUGUACUGUGCCCUGAUGCAUGCUCUACUUGAGUAUUUUACUGUCCAAUGCCAGACAAUUUUAUGCUUCAUAAUGAGACUGCCCAUGUGCCUAGUUACCCAUUAACUGCUUAGUGGACCCCCUGCUUAAUAAAAUUGUCUGACGUUAGACAGAGUUAAACAAUAUAAGUAGGUAAAUUAGGGUGAAAAUCAACUUAAUGGCUGGCUAAGGGACAGGAUGAAAGGUGGGAUGAUUUUCAUGUACUGAAAUAA
rnacentral:lncRNA from 1 species